rnacentral:lncRNA from 1 species
UCUCUCUCUUUAAUCUCAAAGAAACCCUUGAGCUGGGAGGUAGUGAGGGAAAGUGAUUGAUGGUUCGUUUGUGGGAGAGCAGUCUCAACUCAGGUGGUAACAACAGUUAAUUUUUUUUCAGCUGUGCUAUACUGACAUCCUCUUCACAGAGCAAGAGAGAGGUGUAGGCAUCAAAAGCACUCCUGUGACAGUGGUCUUGCCAGACACCAAAGGAAAAUCUUAUCUCUUCAAUAUCAUGGACACUCCAGGUAGGACAUCCUUUGGCUUUUGAUUAUUAGAACCUUGUCUUGGUUUUGCGUGUGUCCUCUCACUUUUCGGAGCAGAA